rnacentral:rRNA from 1 species
GACGAACGCUGGCGGCGUGCCUAAUACAUGCAAGUAGAACGCUGAAGGAGGAGCUUGCUUCUCUGGAUGAGUUGCGAACGGGUGAGUAACGCGUAGGUAACCUGCCUGGUAGCGGGGGAUAACUAUUGGAAACGAUAGCUAAUACCGCAUAAGAUUGACUAUUGCAUGAUAGUCAGUUAAAAGGUGCAAUUGCAUCACUACCAGAUGGACCUGCGUUGUAUUAGCUAGUUGGUGGGGUAACGGCUCACCAAGGCGACGAUACAUAGCAGACCUGAGAGGGUGAGCGGCCACACUGGGACUGAGACACGGCCCAGACUACUACGGGAGGCAGCAGUAGGGAAUCUUCGGCAAUGGACGGAAGUCUGACCGAGCAACGCCGCGUGAGUGAAGAAGGUUUUCGGAUCGUAAAGCUCUGUUGUAAGAGAAGAACGAGUGUGAGAGUGGAAAGUUCACACUGUGACGGUAGCUUACCAGAAAGGGACGGCUAACUACGUG